rnacentral:sRNA from 1 species
UCGGAGCCCCGCAAUGCUCGACUCACGCAUCGAAAAGGUUGAUCUGGCACUGACCGAGAUCGCCCAGGACCCAUCGGAGAAGGUGGCACUG